AUUAAGAAAGAAAAUAAUUUAUAACAAUAUUUAAUUUACUUUCUGCAUUGUUAAACCAAUGAAUGAUGGAACUAAUUUAGAUCAUGACGUAGUUCACAAUAUUAAAAUAUUUUAAAUAUCUCAAUAAAGGCGAAGAGAUCAGAAAAUUCAUUAAUAUCGACAAAAACUACAUGAUGUUACAGAAUGUGUUGAGAGUCAUUCAUUCAAUGCAUACAUUUGGGACCAUCUCUGACUGGACAUACAUACAUGGAUAAGGAGUCAGCAGACUAUUCGCUCCA